UACGUAGGGGGCAAGCGUUGUCCGGAUUUAUUGGGCGUAAAGCGCGUGUAGGCGGCCCGGUAAGUCCGCUGUGAAAGUCGGGGGCUCAACCCUCGAAUGCCGGUGGAUACUGUCGGGCUAGAGUGCGGAAGAGGCGAGUGGAAUUCCUGGUGUAGCGGUGAAAUGCGCAGAUAUCAGGAAGAACACCCGUGGCGAAGGCGGCUCUCUGGGACGGUACUGACGCUGAGACGUCGAAGCCAGGUGGGAGCGAAG
rnacentral:rRNA from 1 species